GCCGUGAUCGUAUAGUGGUUAGUACUCUGCGUUGGCCGCAGCAACCCCGGUUCGAAUCCGGGUCACGGCA
rnacentral:tRNA from 1 species